UUCAACCAUCUUCUAUAAGAUUUAUGCUCUUUUAGUUCUACUUCCAUUUCCACAAACACAUCCUACAUGGACUCUCUAUUCACUAAUCGCAAGGUAAUUCUCUUCCUCCCACUCUCCAUAUAUAUAUAUAUAUAUAUAUAUAUAUACGCUCCCUAAUUAUGAUCUUCUUUUUUUGAAAUUAUAGAUUUCUACCAGGGACCGUUGGCCUAAGCACGCUCUACAUGGGAGUUCCCUUUACAGUUUCGCAAGCUACCGUGCGCAGAGGGUACUGUUUCCUACAAAUGUUUACAUGAAUAGAAAACGAGAAGGAUGUUUAUUGUUCAAAAGCUUCUCUAUUAGAGCUGUGGCUUCUUCUUCUUCGGGGAGGCCGUCGACAAGCGGUCGGAAGGUGUAUUAUCAAUCUCAAUCCCAAGCUCCUCUACCGGCUGUUGUGUCAAAGGAUAUUCGUUUAUUGUUCCGGCCGGUACAUUUGUGGUUGUUACUUUUGAUUGUGUAUUAAAUUCUAGUUUUGGUUUUAUUUCUUUUUUCAAAAUGUUGAUAUAGAUGAGCAGGAACAACCAAAUGUGUAUUAACUUAUUUUACUAGUGUCUGAUUGUACGUAAAGCAUUUGCAUUUUUCUGCAUUUAAAAUGAGUUUAAGUUAUGUUUUGAUAGUUUUCUUC
rnacentral:lncRNA from 1 species